rnacentral:lncRNA from 1 species
AACAACUAUUCUCUUCUUAUCUUCAAUUUAUUCUCUUCUUCUCGUCCUCGAUCUGCCGCUAAUGUUCCCCUGCUUUAUCCGAAGCUCGUCGACGGCGGCCAGUGGAGUCCGGGGAGAUUCGCGGGAGCUAUCCUGUUAGCGAUCAUGUCGUUCAACGGCGGCGUUUUCAUAGUGGUGAUGCUAGGGUUUUAGUAGUAUAACAAGCGGACCUCACCAGUUGUGGAAAAUGUUGGGUAAAACCCUAAUUCGCACUGGUGCUACUUUCAUGAACCGAUUCAUGCCCUUCUCUCCAAUUCUUCCUCCUUUAUGGUACUCUCUCUCUCUCUCCACUCUCCCCAUAAUCUAGAAAAAAACUAUUAUAAAUUUAGCUUUCACUUCAAUAAUAAUGUAGUUUUAUUUUGUAUUCGGUGUUAUGUAUAAACUUUAUUCAUAGGGCCUGUUUUGCUUAAUUUCGAGUGCCUGUGUUUUAUGUAAAUCUUCAAAGGAAAGUGCUUUGGAUGUUUAGUUUCAUUUUGUAUUUACUUGUUUUGGACUAUGUUAAUAUAUCUGAAUUACUAGCCAGUUUGUCUUUUGAAAAAGCAUGUCCAUUACUGUUGAUCGUUCCCUUUGUUAGUGGUAGCAAUGGAAAGUAGAUUACUAGAGUUUUAGAUAAUUGUAGCUCUUCAUAAAUGGACAAAAGUUAAAUAUACUUUGUUAGACCGGGUAGUAAACAACUGUCCGAACCAAUGAAAAGUAUUUAUGCCAUGAGUAAGUCACCUGCCAGACUCUUUAUGAUUGUGAUCAUAUUCAUCUAGCUAAGGCAUUUGAAUUAAUUGUCUAGGUGAAAUGGAAUCAAUUUUGUAGUUUAAUUAUUGAAUAUAGGAAAAUUUGUAGAGACGGCAAUGAAAAGAAUUCAUUGUAUUAGUAGAAGAUUAGAGGUUGAACUUUCGACUUAGAUCAACAACAAAACUCAAAUUGGCUAUAUUUUCCAAUUAAAUUUUAGAUGGUACAUGAUUACUGCUCGUGAUUCUAUUACAUGGACAUAUUUUAUUUUUCUUGUAAUGUCAAAUGCAUGUGUUUUCUUAUAAAGGAUUAUUUGCAAAGCAGAUUUCCCCCAAUAUCUUGAGUGAAAACUGUCACUACCCUCUUGGUUUAGGUCUUGUAAAGAUAUUGCCUUGACUUGGAUUAAGUUAGUGGCUUUGGAUACAUUAGUUUGACUUCUUUUGGAGAAAGAGACCAGUUCAUCCUUUUCCGCAUCAAAUUAACGUUUCCUUAAGAGUUAAAACAACACUUUCAGUUGCUGUUGUGGUUCGUGGUUUCUUGUUUUCUUUCAGUGUUUUUUAGCAUAAACUGUUGGGUUCUAAGCAGAUAAUGCUAUUGAUAUCUUCUGUUGGCUUUUUACGAGUCUUGAAACUUUUCAAUUUUCAUAUUAAACUGUUGCUCGUUCUUUUCUAUAGGCAAUGACUCUUCACCAAGUGAGCCAAUGCUGUUAUUUCCCAAACGAACAAACCAACCAAGCACCAUUAGGCGCAAAAGGAAUCAUGGGUUCUUGGUUCAGUAUAUCUAUCUUCUUGUGUAUAUGUUUGUGUGUGUGCGCGCGCGCAUGUGUAUCUUCAUACUUAUCUCGUGCCCUUUCUUUUGCUUUUAACAUUGAUCAAGUAACUUUUGUAUACUUGUAGAAGUUUUUUUUAAAAUCUAUAUUGUCCCCUUGCCCCAUAUUAAUUUCUAAUGUUGUUAAUUUGAACUGAAUGUUGUGGCAGUUGGAGGAAAAGGGACUCAAGUUCCAAAGUCAACUGGUUUGGUUGGUUGCAGGGUUGUGCCUAAGCCUGCAUUAUCUUCCAAAUCAUCAUCUUCGGCUUCUUUUGGUGCAAUCAAGGAGGCAACAAAUUCUGAUAACUCAUGUGAUAGUUCUAGUAGUUCUUUGUCUAACAACAUUCGUGAAUCUCUUCCAAGUUAUUAUGAAGAAUUGGCAAUACAAGAAAACUGAUGUAAUUCCCAAAGGUAGCGAAUCUAUCGAGUAUGACUUAAAUACCAUGCUAGAGGCCGAAUAUGGAAAGAAUGCCAGUGCUAUUAGAUGUCAAAAUAUACAUAUGUAGAUUUACCAAGGGCAGUAUUAUUACUUUCUCAUAUAUUCUAGACCAAGUCUUUAGAUGGAGGGAGUUUCUCAUAUAUUCCAACUAUUAUAUUGUAAUGUUAUAAUGUGAA